GUUGAACGCUGGCGGCAUGCCUUACACAUGCAAGUCGAACGGCAGCACGGGUGCUUGCACCUGGUGGCGAGUGGCGAACGGGUGAGUAAUACAUCGGAACGUACCUUAUCGUGGGGGAUAACGCAGCGAAAGUUGCGCUAAUACCGCAUACGCCCUGAGGGGGAAAGCGGGGGACCGUAAGGCCUCGCGCGAGUAGAGCGGCCGAUGUCUGAUUAGCUUGUUGGUGAGGUAAAAGCUCACCAAGGCGAUGAUCAGUAGCUGGUCUGAGAGGACGAUCAGCCACACUGGAACUGAGACACGGCCCAGACUCCUACGGGAGGCAGCAGUGGGGAAUUUUGGACAAUGGGGGCAACCCUGAUCCAGCAAUGCCGCGUGAGUGAAGAAGGCCUUCGGGUUGUAAAGCUCUUUUGUCAGGGAAGAAACAGCAGCUCUAACACAGUCUGCGAAUGACGGUACCUGAAGAAUAAGCACCGGCUAACUACGUGCCAGUAGCCGCCGUAA
rnacentral:rRNA from 1 species